rnacentral:rRNA from 2 species
GUGAUAAACUGGAGGAAGGUGGGGAUGACGUCAAGUCAUCAUGGCCCUUACGACCAGGGCUACACACGUGCUACAAUGGCGCAUACAAAGAGAAGCGACCUCGCGAGAGCAAGCGGACCUCAUAAAGUGCGUCGUAGUCCGGAUUGGAGUCUGCAACUCGACUCCAUGAAGUCGGAAUCGCUAGUAAUCGUGGAUCAGAAUGCCACGGUGAAUACGUUCCCGGGCCUUGUACACACCGCCCGUCACACCAUGGGAGUGGGUUGCAAAAGAAGUAGGUAGCUUAACCUUCGGGAGGGCGCUUACCACUUUGUGAUUCAUGACUGGGGUGAAGUCGUAACAAGGUAACCGUAGGGGAACCUGCGGUUGGA